rnacentral:SRP_RNA from 1 species
GCCGGGGAGUUAGCGGUGCCCUGUACCUGCAAUCCGCUACAGCAGGGGUGAUAUUCUGCCGAGGGCAUUUUGAUGCAGAGCUGCCCUUCGCAAGUGGCGUUGACGUUUGGGUCUCGCGCAACAGAAAUCCAUGAACCUUGUCAGGGCAGGAAUGCAGCAGCAAUAAGUGGAAUCUUUUGUGUGCCGUGAGGUCGCCUGGACUGAGUUAACUGCGAAGGUAACGUCUGUGUCAGAUGUUCG